AUUGAACGCUGGCGGCAUGCCUAACACAUGCAAGUCGAGCGGUUGCAGGUAUCUUGCUCCUGGAUUCAGCGGCGGACGUGUGUGUUAUGUCUAGGAAUCUGCCUGGUAGUGGGGGAUAACGUCCGGAAACUUGCUCUAAUACCACAUACGUUCUGAGGGAGAACGUGGGGGCUCUUCGGAUCUCACGCUCUCAGCUGAGCCUAGGUCGGAUUAGCUAGUUGGUGGGAUAAAGGCCUACCAAGGCGACGAUCCGUAGCUGGUCUGAGAGGAUGAUCAGUCACACUGGGACUGAGACACGGUCCAGACUCCUACGGGAGGCUGCAGUGGGGAAUAUUGGACAAUGGGCGAAAGCCUGAUCCAGCCAUGCCGCGUGUAUGAUGAAGGUCUUCGGAUUGUAAAGCACUUUAAGAUGGAAGGAAAAGAAGUAAGUUAAUACCUGGCUGUUAUGACGUUACCAUAAGAAUAAGCACCGGCUAACUACGUG
rnacentral:rRNA from 1 species